UAGCCCGAAUGCGUCACGGACCCAGGUGAGGUAAGUCUCACCUCACACCUUAAUUCCUCUCUCACCGGUUGGUAAUCCUGCUCGUUUCCUUACGACAUGGUUCACAAGAGAGUUGUCUCAAGUCCCCAGUCCAUAUCGAACCUGGAGCCAAGUCAUCAGGUCACCUCGACCCGAGGGCGAGAUCGAGGGGUGGAUUCUACAGAGCAAGGAAUCAAAUAAAUUGCGGGAAUAGGAUCAAACUCAAAGUCAAAUAGAGUUUGUAUUGGGGCGAGGAGAGACCAUCCCCCACAGUAAUAAAAUUUGUGGGCUGUAUACUUUCACUGUUACCAAAAAAAGGUGGGAGAUCUGCCCCUCACUGUGGUCCAAAAAGCUGCUACAAAUCCCAGUGGGGUCCCCUGCUGCGACUUCCUUGGCAAUAAUGUGGACAAUGUGGUUGGCCUCCUGCCAGGAAGACAGUUUUUGGAUCAGGCCAGGUUAUUGAAUGGUAGGGUGUAUGUGUGUGAAAAAAUGAGGAUCUUUCGAGAAAAUAUGCAUCCAUGAUGCUGGAGUUUAGAAGGGUUCCAUGAUUCGCAUAGUCAAAGACAAGGAUUUCACACUAGGGUUGCCUUGGUCAAAAAGGCAUUCACGCUAGGAGUUGGUGUCACCAUGGACCCUGUCAAAGCUUUGGAAAUGUGAUUCAAAAUGGUCCAUCAAUGACCCUAUGUUUUGAAGGACUACUGAAGAAAGAGAUAAAGUGCCCUUGAUUAGUACAUGGUGGAGGAAGCAAUCUUUUUGGGUUUUACAGGGGAUUCAACACGUUUUCUUUUUCAAAGAUUUAAAGGAAUAGGUAGCAAAGUGAGGUCUUUGUCAAAGGGUGGUCCUUUAUUUAUUGUUACCUUGUCCCCCCUGUGGGGCACUAAAUAGCUCUCUUCUGUGCUUGCUUUCUUGGCAUUCAUUGAGGGUUAGGAAAAACCCACAUGCCUCAUCUGAUGAUUUACGCUUAUCCUCAAUUCUAUUAGCAACGCAAGGAUGGGUUCCAAAGAAGUGGUCAAGGGUUCUUGCAGUGACAUUUGACAUGAGAACAAGUUUGAAUUUUCUCACCCUUUGGACAUUUCAGACAAUUCUAAAAGCAUAAUUUUCUACUUGGUGAGAGUUGAUCGUUAUCAAAAUGUUAUUGGUGGGAGUCUUUAUCAAGA